rnacentral:rRNA from 1 species
UACGUAUGGGGCGAGCGUUGUCCGGAAUUAUUGGGCGUAAAGGGUUCGCAGGCGGUUCCUUAAGUCAGAUGUUAAAUGCAUAGGCUCAACCUAUGAGUGCAUUUGAAACUGGGGAACUUGAGUUAAGGAGAGGAAAGUGGAAUUCCUAGUGUAGCGGUGAAAUGCGUAGAUAUUAGGAGGAAUACCAGUGGCGAAGGCGACUUUCUGGACUUAAACUGACGCUGAGGAACGAAAGCAUGGGUAGCAAACAGGAUUAGAUACCCGGUAGUCCCUGAG